CAGCCGCCGCGGUAAUACCGGCGGCCCGAGUGGCGGUCACUAUUAUUGGGCUUAAAGCGUCCGUAGCCGGGUUGGGAAGUCCUCCGGGAAAUCUGGCCGCUUAACGGUCAGAAUGCCGGAGGAUACUCCCAGCCUAGGGAGCGGGAGAGGCCGAGGGUAUUCCCGGAGUAGGGGUGAAAUCCUAUAAUCCCGGGAGGACCACCUGUGGCGAAGGCGCUCGGCUGGAACGCGUCCGACGGUGAGGGACGAAGGCCAGGGGAGCAAACCGGAUUAGAUACCCGGGUAGUCCUGGCUGUAAACGAUGCGGACUUUGUGUCGGACAAGCUAUGAGCUUGUCCGGUGCCGGAGGGAAACCGUUAAGUCCGCCGCCUGGGGAGUACGGCCGCAAGGCUGAAAUUUAAAGGAAUUGGCGGG
rnacentral:rRNA from 1 species